GGAAAUUGAUAGUCUGAGACACUG
rnacentral:piRNA from 1 species